CCCUUAGAUGUUCUGGGCCGCACGCGCGCUACACUGACGAAUGCAACGAGCUUAUAACCUUGGCCGAAAGGUCUGGGUAAUCUCCAAAUUUCGUCGUGAUGGGGAUAGAUUAUUGCAAUUAUUAAUCUUCAACGAGGAAUGCCUAGUAAGCGCAAGUCAUCAGCUUGCGUUGAUUACGUCCCUGCCCUUUGUACACACCGCCCGUCGCUCCUACCGAUUGAAUGGUCCGGUGAAGCCUCGGGAUUGUGGUUCUUGCCGCUUUAUUGUGGCGUGACCGCGAGAACUUGUCUAAACCUUAUCAUCUAGAGGAAGGUGAAGUCGUAACA
rnacentral:rRNA from 1 species